GGUCUAUUAUUUCAGUUAGUUAGAACAUCGUGUUAAUAACUUGAAAGUUAUAGGUUUGAAUCCUACAUGGACCA
rfam:Glycine soja cultivar W05 scaffold1598_26, whole genome shotgun sequence.